CGUCGGGUUUCCCUUCCGCCGCUUGUGGUGGCUCCUGGCAGUGAGUGUCACACUGGGAGGAGCACGACCAUACCCUCCAACAACUGUUCUUCACCGGGAAGCAGUAGCUCUAUAGGAGUUUUGAUCAGUGGAGCUGCGACAGCAGGCAAC